rnacentral:rRNA from 1 species
GAGGAGCCCGCGGCCUAUCUGCUAGUUGGUGAGGUAACGGCCCACCAAGGCUUUGACGGGUAGCUGGUCUGAGAGGACGACCAGCCACACUGGGACUGAGACACGGCCCAGACACCUACGGGUGGCAGCAGUCGAGAAUUUUUCUCAAUGGGGGAAACCCUGAAGGAGCGACGCCGCGUGGAGGAUGAAGGUCUUCGGGUUGUAAACUCCUGUCAUUUGGGAACAAGUCUUACGUAUUAACUGUACGUGCGUUGAUAGUACCAGAAGAGGAAGAGACGGCUAACUCUGUGCCAGCAGCCGCGGUAAUACAGAGGUCUCAAGCGUUGUUCGGAUUCAUUGGGCGUAAAGGGUGCGUAGGCGGCGCGGUAAGUCGGGUGUGAAAUCUCGGAGCUUAACUCCGAAACUGCAUUCGAUACUGCCGUGCUUGAGGACUGGAGAGGAGACUGGAAUUUACGGUGUAGCGGUGAAAUGCGUAGAUAUCGUAAGG